AACGAACGCUGGCGGCGUGCUUAACACAUGCAAGUCGAACGCGAAAGGGACUUCGGUCCUGAGUAAAGUGGCGCACGGGUGAGUAACGCGUAGAUAACCUGUCUUCAUGUCUGGAAUAAUACGCCGAAAGGGGUACUAAUACCGGAUAUUCUUGCUUUUCAUAAGUUAUGCAAGCAAAGGUGGCCUCUGCAUAUGCUACUGCAUGAAGAGGGGUCUGCGUACCAUUAGCUAGUAGGUGGGGUAAUGGCCUACCUAGGCGACGAUGGUUAGCGGGUCUGAGAGGAUGAUCCGCCACACUGGCACUGGAACACGGGCCAGACUCCUACGGGAGGCAGCAGUGAGGAAUAUUGCGCAAUGGGGGAAACCCUGACGCAGCGACGCCGCGUGAGUGAGGAAGGCCCUUCGGGUCGUAAAGCUCUGUCAAGAGGAAAGAAGUGUACAAUGGCUAAUACCUGUUGUAUUUGACGGUACCUCUAGAGGAAGCACCGGCUAACUCCGUGCCAGCAGCAGC
rnacentral:rRNA from 1 species